rnacentral:rRNA from 1 species
AGUGAACGCUGGCGGUAGGCCUAACACAUGCAAGUCGAACGGCAGCACAGGAGAGCUUGCUCUCUGGGUGGCGAGUGGCGGACGGGUGAGGAAUACAUCGGAAUCUACUCUGUCGUGGGGGAUAACGUAGGGAAACUUACGCUAAUACCGCAUACGACCUACGGGUGAAAGCAGGGGACCUUCGGGCCUUGCGCGAUUGAAUGAGCCGAUGUCGGAUUAGCUAGUUGGCGGGGUAAAGGCCCACCAAGGCGACGAUCCGUAGCAGGUCUGAGAGGAUGAUCAUCUACAAUGGAACUGAGACACUGUCCAGACUCCUACGGGAGACAGCAGUGGGGAAUAUUGGACAAUGGGCGCAAGCCUGAUCCAGCCAUACCGCGUGGGUGAAUAAGGCCUUCGGGUUGUAAAGCCCUUUUGUUGGGAAAGAAAUCCAGCUGGCUAAUACCCGGUUGGGAUGACGGUACCCAAAGAAUAAGCACCGGCUAACUUCGUGCCAGCAGCCGCAGUAA